UACGUAGGGGGCAAGCGUUGUCCGGAUUUAUUGGGCGUAAAGAGCGUGUAGGCGGCUUUACAGGUCCGUUGUGAAAACUCGAGGCUCAACCUCGAGACGCCGGUGGAAACCGUAAGGCUAGAGUCCGGAAGAGGAGAGUGGAAUUCCUGGUGUAGCGGUGAAAUGCGCAGAUAUCAGGAGGAGCACCCGUGGCGAAAGCGACUCUCUGGGACGGUACUGACGCUGAGACGCGAAAGCGUGGGGAGCGAACAGGAUUAAGAAACC
rnacentral:rRNA from 1 species